AAAAAGAAGGGAAAAAACAAA
rnacentral:sRNA from 1 species